rnacentral:rRNA from 1 species
AGAGUUUGAUCAUGGCUCAGAUUGAACGCUGGCGGCGUGCCUAACACAUGCAAGUCGAGCGGUAACAGGUGUAGCAAUACAUGCUGACGAGCGGCGAACGGGUGAGUAAUGCUUCGGAAUCUACCCAUGUAGUGGGGAAUAACCAGCCGAAAGGUUGGCUAAUACCGCAUACGACCCUUGUCGAAAGACAAGAGUGAAAGCAGGGGAUCGCAAGACCUUGCGCUAUUGGAUGAGCCGAAGUCGGAUUAGCUAGUUGGUGAGGUAACGGCUCACCAAGGCGACGAUCCGUAGCUGGUCUGAGAGGACGACCAGCCACACUGGGACUGAGACACGGCCCAGACUCCUACGGGAGGCAGCAGUGGGGAAUAUUGGACAAUGGGGGCAACCCUGAUCCAGCGACGCCGCGUGUGUGAAGAAGGCCUGCGGGUUGUAAAGCACUUUUAGUGGGGAUGAAAAGCUCGGGGCUAAUACCUCCGGGUCUUGACCUAACCCAAAGAAAAAGCACCGGCUAACUCUGUGCCAGCAGCCGCGGUAAUACAGAGGGUGCAAGCGUUAAUCGGAAUUACUGGGCGUAAAGCGUGCGUAGACGGUUACAUAAGUCGGAUGUGAAAGCCCCGGGCUCAACCUGGGAAUUGCAUUCGAGACUGUGUAGCUAGGAUGCGGAAGAGGGAAGCGGAAUUUCCGGUGUAGCGGUGAAAUGCGUAGAUAUCGGAAGGAACACCAGUGGCGAAAGCGGCUUCCUGGUCCAGCAUCGACGUUCAGGCACGAAAGCGUGGGGAGCAAACAGGAUUAGAUACCCCGGUAGUCC